rnacentral:rRNA from 1 species
AUUGAACGCUGGCGGCAUGCUUUACACAUGCAAGUCGAACGGUAACAGGCCGCAAGGUGCUGACGAGUGGCGAACGGGUGAGUAAUGCAUCGGAACGUGCCCAGUCGUGGGGGAUAACGCAGCGAAAGCUGCGCUAAUACCGCAUACGAUCUGUGGAUGAAAGCGGGGGACCUUCGGGCCUCGCGCGAUUGGAGCGGCCG